AUACGGAAGGUCCGGGCGUUAUCCGGAUUUAUUGGGUUUAAAGGGAGCGCAGGCGCCAGUGCAAGCGUGACGUUAAAUGUCGGGGCUCACCCCCGUUUUGCGUCGCGAACCGUUCUGCUUGAGUAGGCGGCAGGGAGGCGGAAUUCGCGGUGUAGCGGUGAAAUGCUUAGAUAUCGCGAGGAACUCCGAUAGCGCAGGCAGCCUCCCGUUGCCUUACUGACGCUCAUGCUCGAAGGUGCGGGUAUCGAACAGGAUUAGAUACCCUGGUAGUCCGCACUGUAAACGAUGGAUGCCCGCUGUUGGGUCGGUAAGAUUCAGCGGCCAAGCGAAAGCGUUAAGCAUCCCACCUGGGGAGUACGCCGGCAACGGUGAAACUCAAAGGAAUUGACGGGG
rnacentral:rRNA from 1 species